AUUUUACCAUUUAUGUUAAAAAGGUAAGUGAGAGAAUUUAAAGAAUUUGUUUGUGUAUAUUGUCAACUUGGGUUUGAUUGGCCAAUAUUAUAAUGGAAUUGAUUAAAUUCAGAUUUGAUUAAAAUGGUCUUAAAUUGAUUUUAAUUGGUUUAUUUUUAUUUUUAAUUAAAAGUUGAAUUUCUCACUAAUUUUUUUUAAAACAUGCAUCAUA
rnacentral:misc_RNA from 1 species